AUAAACAAAGCAUUAGUUUAUCAGAAUUUGAAUAUGAGCAAAUGUUUACACAUGACACUUAGUUAUCAGCAUGGAUAUUUAUAUUUAGAAAUGUUAAAUUACUGGCAGUAUCCAAUGAGUUUAUUAGUAUUUACAAAUAUGUUAGUCACUUUUUUUUUUCCUUAAAAUGUGAAAAAAAAAUAUUAUUCAUUAGUUAAUGGUAUAUUCAUGAAAGCAUUAUACAUUAUAAAAUGUUACCAAAUCUUUGUUCUAGGGUUUAUAUUAUCCCUAUUUUUUUAGGAUCUACGUCAAUGUAGUCCUAUAUGUCCUUCAUAAAAUUCGUGGCAGUUAAUGAGCAGGUGCUCUAUUGUUCAUCACAACAGUUCUUCAUGGGGCUCAUCUUCGUGGUGACGUAGAAGCUCCUCUUGACGACCGCUCUGACCGCCAGUCUGCCGACACUUAAUGCCAUUGACUCAUUGCUCGGUGCAUAACUCCUGUGAAGUCGUGUUGAUCAGCGAGCAUCUCUCCUGUGCUUCAGAACCUGCAGGUCCGCAGGACUGAAGAUCUCCCGGGACAGAACUCAGAAGCUCAGAGAGCUCUGAGAGUGAGUUACAGCAGGAGGAUGAAUCAGCAAGAGCUAUUUAUCUGCUCCAUUAAUAAAUACGUCAAUAAACACAGUGGACAGAGUUCCAGAGCGCACAAGAUCUGCCCGUCACCCACUUACACCAUCCACACUCAAUCACAAUAGAAAAGGUUUUUUUUUGUCAGAGAAAUAAAAUCCCAUUCACCUUUAAUAAUUUAAUUAUGCACUGUAUUGUCUCUUUGGAUCAUCCUAUAAUUGUGAGCACAUUUCAAACACUAAGAGAGUCCUCAAACACAGAGUCCUCAGUAACUCUGCAUCUGAAUGAAAUCUGCAUCUCCAUAAAAGUAGUCAGCAGAG